UGUCGAACGGGUUAUUCUUUAUAGCUUGCUAUUAAAGUUAGUGGCAGACGGGUGAGUAACACGUGGGAAUCUGCCUCAUAGUACGGGAUAACAGUUGGAAACGACUGCUAAUACCGUAUAUUUUCUUCGGAAGAAAGAUUUAUCGCUAUGAGAUGAGCCCGCGGUAGAUUAGGUAGUUGGUGGGGUAAUGGCCUACCAAGCCUACGAUCUAUAGCUGGUCUGAGAGGAUGAUCAGCCACACUGGGACUGAGACACGGCCCAGACUCCUACGGGAGGCAGCAGUGGGGAAUAUUGGACAAUGGGCGAAAGCCUGAUCCAGCAAUGCCGCGUGAGUGAUGAAGGCCUUAGGGUUGUAAAGCUCUUUCGGUAGGGAAGAUAAUGAGGGUACCUAUAA
rnacentral:rRNA from 1 species